GAUAGCUCAGCGGUAGAGCGGCCGGCUGUUAACCGGUAGGUCGUAGGUUCGAAUCCUACUC
rnacentral:tRNA from 1 species